UAACAAUGGCUUUAGUGGCGGACUGGUGAGUAACGCGUAAGCAAUCUGCCUAUUAGAGGGGAAUAACAGUGAGAAAUCACUGCUAAUACCGCAUAUGCCAUAGUUAUCACAUGAUAAUAGUGGGAAAGGAGCAAUCCGCUAAUAGAUGAGCUUGCGUCUGAUUAGCUAGUUGGUGGGGUAACGGCCUACCAAGGCAACGAUCAGUAGCCGGACUGAGAGGUUGAACGGCCACAUUGGGACUGAGAUACGGCCCAGACCCCUACGGGAGGCAGCAGUCGGGAAUAUUGCGCAAUGGAGGAAACUCUGACGCAGUGACGCCGCGUAUAGGAAGAAGGUUUUCGGAUUGUAAACUAUUGUCGUUAGGGAAGAUACAAGACAGUACCUAAGGAGGAAGCUCCGGCUAACUACGUGCCAGCAGCCGCGGUAAUACGUAGGGAGCAAGCGUUAUCCGGAUUUAUUGGGUGUAAAGGGUGCGUAGACGGGAAAUUAAGUUAGUUGUGAAACCCCUCGGCUUAACUGAGGAACUGCAACUAAAACUGGUUUUCUUGAGUGCGGGAGAGGAAAGUGGAAUUCCUAGUGUAGCGGUGAAAUGCGUAGAUAUUAGGAGGAACACCAGUGGCGAAGGCGACUUUCUGGACCGUAACUGACGUUGAGGCACGAAAGUGUGGGGAGCAAACAGGAUUAGAUACCCUGGUAGUCCACACCGUAAACGAUGGAUACUAAGGUGUAGGGGGUAUUAAGCUUUCCUGGGCCCGCCCCAACCCAAAAAAUAUCCCCACCCUGGGGGAGUACGGCCGCAAGGUUGAAACUUAAGAGAAUUGACGGGGGCCCGCUCAAGCAGUGGAGUAUGUGGUUUAAUUAGAAGCAACGCGAAGAACAUUACCAGGGCUUGACAUAUGCAGGAAUAUGUUAGAGAUAGCAUAGCUCUUCGGAGUCUGCAUACAGGUGGUGCAUGGUUGUCGUCAGCUCGUGUCGUGAGAUGUUGGGUUAAGUCCCGCAACGAGCGCAACCCCUGUGAUUAGUUGCCAACACGUAAAGGUGGGAACUCUAAUCAGACUGCCGGUGAUAAAUCGGAGGAAGGUGGGGACGACGUCAAAUCAUCAUGCCCUUUAUGUCCUGGGCUACACACGUACUACAAUGGCCGCUACAGAGGGAAGCUAAGUAGUGAUAUGGAGCAAAACCCUAAAAACGGUCUCAGUUCGGAUUGAAGGCUGAAAUUCGCCUUCAUGAAGCUGGAAUUGCUAGUAAUGGCAGGUCAGCAUACUGCCGUGAAUACGUUCCCGGGCCUUGUACACACCGCCCGUCA
rnacentral:rRNA from 1 species